ACACGAGCGCCUCGCGCUGCGUGGGGGAGGCGGGGGCAAAGGAGCAGCAGCAGGCGGGGACGGACGAGGACCAGCUCCGUGGCUGCCCGCACCCGCCGCCCGCGCGCCCCGCGUGACGGACACGAGCGGGCCAAGACUCUGGCGCCCUCGACGUGUUCGACGGAUUGCCUGGCCGCCUCGUCGCCCACCGUCCUCCUCGGCUCUGCGGCACCGCGCGCGGGGACAAGGACCGGGCUCGUGGCACGAUGACAAUAAGCGGGCGUUGCUCGACCCGACUACCAAGGUGGCGCGGGGAGUCCCCAGCGUUCGUCCUCUGGGGUCUUAUAUUGGAUUGGUAGCUGUACUGUAAAUUUCAUCUUACCUGGUAAAAAAUUUAUAAGUGAUUCUUAUAUGUAUCCUGCUUUCAAAACGCCAUUCAGGCAGGCAGGUAAGCCCAUCAAUCCAGCUUUUGUUUAUAUCUUUGUAUGAUUUCUAUGUUUAUUAUUGGCAGGCAGGUUAGCCAAUCAUGAAAUGGAUGUCCUUUCUCAAAAUAUGGGUGAAAUGAUACGGCAGGAUUUUUAUUGCUUAAAUCAACGAUGACAGCUUACAAACAAGGGCAAGACAACCCGGAUCACCCCCCCUUGGAGGCUCUGACCUUU